ensembl:rRNA 5S_rRNA 5S ribosomal RNA
GUCUACGGCCAUGCCACCCUGAACGCGCCCGAUCUCAUCUGAUCUCGGAAGCUAAGCAGGGUCGGGCCUGGUUAGUACUUGGAUGGGAGAAGACACAAGUGUCCUGAAGAUG